AACGAACGCUGGCGGCAUGCCUAACACAUGCAAGUCGAACGAUGCUUUCGGGCCUAGUGGCGCACGGGUGCGUAACGCGUGGGAAUCUGCCCUUGGGUUCGGAAUAACAGUGAGAAAUUGCUGCUAAUACCGGAUGAUGUCUUCGGACCAAAGAUUUAUCGCCCAGGGAUGAGCCCGCGUAGGAUUAGCUAGUUGGUGGGGUAAUGGCCUACCAAGGCGACGAUCCUUAGCUGGUCUGAGAGGAUGAUCAGCCACACUGGGACUGAGACACGGCCCAGACUCCUACGGGAGGCAGCAGUGGGGAAUAUUGGACAAUGGGCGCAAGCCUGAUCCAGCAAUGCCGCGUGAGUGAUGAAGGCCUUAGGGUUGUAAAGCUCUUUUACCCGGGAUGAUAAUGACAGUACCGGGAGAAUAAGCGCCGGCUAACUCCGUG
rnacentral:rRNA from 1 species